AGUGUCCAUUGAUGGGGAAGAUUCUCUCCUGAGUUAGUGUGGACACAAAGGGGAACAUACCCCUCCAAGAAAGUCGUUAAAAGAUGGAUUUUUAAACCCUUGCUCUCUUUUGUUUUAAAGCCAGCCAAUCCCAAGCCAGCAUUCUUUUUAUUUGUAUCUGCAUGUGUGCCUAGCAAGUGGGGGUUUGGAGUAAGCAGAUUGGCCUGGUUUGCUUCCUUCUGGUGGAGAAGACAGGGCUCCAAAUGGACUUCCAGUCCCAUCCACGUCACAGAGGCAAAUUGUCAGAGACAAAGACCUAAGCCGGUCCUUUUCCAGGAGUAAAUGACCAUCGUGCGCCCAUGGGAAGAGUGCUGCAUCCACGGAGGACAUGGGCCAACAGUGCUCUCAAAUGGGUUUCAUGAAAGCAUCUGUGACUCAUCCCUGUUCAAGAAUGUUUUCAUUACGAUUCAGCAGAAGCGAUGUGCCAGCUUUUGAUAAUGUGGCUACUUAAAACAACUGAAAUAACACAUGUGGUCCCAUUGUGGCCACAUUAGAUUUCUACUGGCCAGCGUGGGACUAGACUCAGGCUAAGGUCCUCCCAACUCAGGGUGUUUCAAAAAGCAAAAGUACCGUGGCUCCAGCGUCAGCAGAAAAACAAGUUAGAAAGACAGGCAGGGGAGGGGGCGAUCCCUCCAACUCCAAAGCUGUGCCAGGGAGACACCGCUCUUGGGGAAGUUGGGCUGCAGCCCCCGCACGUGCUAGGAAGAUAAGUGAAGGUCCCAACACAUCCUGUCCCCUUAGAGCCCCUGGGGCCCAGCAGCCGGGCCCAGCAGCCCGACCCAGCGCCUAGAGCCCAUUCGCAGACAGCGCGCUGAGGCGGCUUGGGCGCCAUGCCCUUUGGGUUACUCAGCUCUUCAGCCUCCUGGAACGCUAGGACAAAGGAGUGCCUUGGUGCUGGCAGAAGCCGGGGGGCACAGCUGGGUUUUACAAGGAAGGACGAAAUCUCAUCUCAGCAAUCGGGAUAGAUCAACCGUUGCCCGUCUGAGGUGACCCAAUUCAGGGACCAGCCGCUUGGCUCUGAACACACACGUGUCACAACCCCAGCUCGUACCCAGGCCUUGCUAGAGCUCCAGGUUUAUGAGCCGUAACUCAGCAGAAGCCUAGCAUGAGAACAACUCAUCUGAAGCUCCAACAUUUGGGGAAUGCAACCUUUCGACAGACAUUUGCUGAAUGGAUAGGAGACUCCUGAAAGCAGAAUUCUGCACAUUCUGUGGACCAGCCCUGACUACGGAGAGCAGGUGUUAGCCAGUAUCCAUGCGCAGUGCCUCUUAGUCUUACCUGUCUGCUGCCUUACGCAAGCAUGGAGCUUAAUAUGCUAGCUGUGUUCUCCUAACCUCAGAUAUCUGUAAAACCAGCCACAGUAAGAUAACAUGGUAGAGCACAAAAUGCUUAGAAGAGAUUUAUUUGAAGCAAUGCUUCCCAGAAGUUUUUCAAUGCAGCUUAUGGCGAGAAACACAUUUUACAUCUCUACUCAGUACGCAGCCACUCAUACUCAACUGAAACAUCUUCUGAAACAAUAUUUCACUUCACUCUCUGCAAUACAGAAAAUACCAGAUCGUAUUGUAUGUUAUUUCAUUGUUUUAAAAUCCUGAGCCUAGCUUGCUAAUAGAUUACAACUCAGUUUGAAAAGCACAGGCUAAGGGGCUUCAAAUAGGGGUGACACAUUGAACACACACAUUUAUCACCUCUCCCUUCACAGAUCUCAUUAAAAUGAUAAUAAAGGAACAAAAUGGCAGAAAUCCACAAGGACAAACAGCAAACAAGAGGGACAUCAGCAGAUAGGCAACCUCAACAAGUAUAUCACAAUGAGUGACACACCCCCUAUAACAGCCAAUUUUGAUGGUCCUCCCAUAGCUCUUGCCUUAUUCUUUGUAAUAGGAUUCAGAUUGUUUAAAAUCCCCAUAUUCUACCGCAAAGUCAUGUUAUCAGGAAAGACCAACCCUAACCCCAGUUCCAUGGAGUAAAGAUUAAUUAAUCUAAACUCUAUUAAUUGUAUUCCCUUUAUCUGGUGAUAAGUUUAAGAGCUGAUCCCUUAAUUUUGGACAUGGGAGCACAAGAGAAACUCACUCAAGACUGGGAUUAAUUGUAGGAAAUAUUUCACAGUUUCCACAAGUCAGAAGAGCUAAUCCCAACCCUCUGUAUCUGGAACAUACACUGCUGCCAUUUUCUGCCCAUGAAGGGAAAUACCCAAGGUACUCUGGCAGAACAGAUUUUUGAAAACUUGAGUCCCUGAUGAUGUAAGUCAGCCACAAUGUUAAUCAACCCCAGAGCCACCUUAUUUCUAGACUUAUUAUGCAAGAUAAAAAAAAUCAACUUGCAGUAUGAACCACUUUUAGUUGGGUUUUAUUUCGGCAAACAUAUGCCAAGGCACAGCAUAAAAUUCCACAAGGGACAAAUCAAUGAGCCCAGAACUUCCAAUGAGGGGGACAACUAAGUCAUAUACACAAUAACUAGAAUGUAAAUGGUAUUGAACUUCAAGCACAACAUUGGAUGCUAGAAAAAAAGAAUGCCUUCAAAGUUUUAAAAGAAAACACUUUUCUACCUUGAAUUCUGCAAUCAACCAUACCAUUGAUCAAGAACAAAAGUAGAUAGAAUUAUCCUUAGACAUGCAAGGACGAAAAUUUACCUUCCAUAUGCCUUCUAGGAGCUAAUAGUUGAUGGGUUUCAGGAAAAGAAAGGAAUAUAAAUGAAAAUAAGGGAAGAGAAGGGACCUAGGAACCAGUGAGUCCAGUCAGCAGGGUGGAAGAGCUGACAGCUACACUGUGCAGUCCACACAAGAGUAGAAGGGGAAGACAUCCAGGGAAAAAUUACAUAGACUUAACAGAGUAGAAAUAUGGCAGAUCUAGUGGCAAAGUGAUCAUCAGAAAGAAAUCAAAUAUGCUGUACUGUAUAACGAAUUACCCUGAGACUUUCAGACUUAAAAUAAGCAUUUAUUAUCUUCUAUUUUCUGAGCAUGAGGCAUCUGGGAGCAGCUUAGCUGGGUAGUUUCAGCUCAGGAUCUCUUCUGAGGUUGUCAAGAUGUCAGCUGGGGCUCCAGUCAGCUGAGAGCAUGACCAGAACCGUAGAAUCAGCCUCCACCAUGGCUGACUCAUGUUGCAGUUGGCAGAAGGCCUCAGUUCCUUGCUGGCUGUGGGCAACAGGCCUCAGCUGCCUGCCACAUGGACCUGUUCAGAGGGCUGCUCAAGUGGCCUAACAUGGCAGCUGGUUUUCCCCAAAGCAAUCCAUGAGAAAGUUCGUGGGGGGGGGCUGUAAUGCCUUUUAUGACCUAGUCUCAGAAGUCACAUGUCAUUAUUUCUGCCAUGUUCUAUUUGUUAGAAGCAAUUCACUAAGUACAGCCCACUUAUAAGGCAAGGGAAAUAGGGCUCUGCAUUUUAUAAGAAUAUUGAAUUUUUGACAUGUUUUUAAACUAUUACACAUAUGCAUAUAAAAGUAGCAUGUAAGUUAAUAAGUGUGGCAAAGAGAUAACUUCAAGGGAAACAAAAUCUAAAGAAAAAAUGUAAUCCUAAUGCACCACGCAGAUUUGCUAUUAACAAUAUCGACAUAGUUUUGGUGUUAUAAAGUGAUUAUUGAUGUAAUUAAAAGCAACUAUAGGCCAAGCCCAGUGGCUCAUGCCUGGAAUCCCAGCACUUUGGGAGGUGGGCGGAUCACCUGAGGUCAGGAGUUUGAGACUAGCCAAGAUGGUGAAACCCUGUCUCUACUAAAAAUACAAAAAUUAGCUGGGCAUGGUGGUGGGUGCCUGUAAUCUCAGCCACUUGGGAGGCUGAGGCAGGAGAAUUGCUUGAUCCCGGAAGGAGGCAGCUGCAGUGAGCUGAGAUCAUGCCACUGUACUCCAGCCUGAAUGACAGACUUAAACAAAAAACUAUGCAGCUAUAUAAAGAGGGAUGAGGAAAGAUAAGAGCAUAAGGGAGCCAACUUUUCAUUAACUCUGAGGAAGCCAAUUGAUAUUACCUGUAAUUGAUAAAUCAAAAAACUAUGAUCAAGACAGUCUUGCACUGGCAAAAUAGGUCAAUGACCAUAUUUGUUCAUUGAAAAAAUAGAAAACCCAGACAGACCUCACCCAAAUAUAAUCAACUGAUCUUUGACAAAGGGGAAAGGAUAGUCUUUUCAGUAAAUGGUGCUGAAACAACUGGACAUCCACAUGCAAAAGAAUCUAGUCACAGACUAUAUCCUUCACAAAAAUUAAUUUAAAAUGGAUCAUAGAUGCAAAUGUUAAACCUAAAACUAAGACUCCUAGCAGGUCACAUAGGAAAGCAUCUAGAUGACCCCUGGGUUUGGGAAUGACUUUUUAGACAACACCAAAGAAAUGAUUAAAGAAUUGAUAAAUUGGACUUUAUUAAAAUUAAAAACUUCUGCUCUGUGAAAGGCACUGUCAUGAAAAUAAGAAAAGCCACAGAUUGGAGAAAAUAUUUGCAAGAGAUAAAUCUGAUAAAGGACUGUUAUUCAAAAUAUAUAAAAAGUCUUAAAACUCAAUAAGGAAACAACUUAAUUAAAAAUGGGCAAAAGAUCUGAACAGAUACCUCACAAAAGACAUACAGCUGGCAAAUAAGCAUAUGAAAAGAUGCUCCACAUCAUAUAUCAUUAGAGAAUUGCGAAUUAAAACGAGAUACUGCUACACACUUAUUAGAAUGGCCAAAUCUAGAAUACCGUCAACACCAAAUGUUGGCAAGGAUGUGGAGCAUCAGGAACUCCCAUUCAUUGCUGUGUGAAUGCCAAAUAGUAGUUUGGAAGACAGUUUGGCAGUUUCUUACAAAGCAACUACUUUUGCAAUAUACUCCAGAAUUUGUACUCCUUGGUAUUUACUCAAAUGAGUUAAAAACAUGUCCACACAAAACCCUGCACAUACCCUUCACUGCUUCCAUGUUGUAGCAACCAAUGAAUAAAAUUGCUAGAAACAAUGUCCUUCAAUAGGUGAAUGGAUAAACCAUCGUGCAUCAAGACAGUGGAAUAUUAUCCAGUACUAAAAAACGCAAUAUGGAAGCCAUGAAGACAUGGAAGAAACUUAAAUGCAUAUUGCUAAGUAAACAAAGCCAAUCUGAAAAGGCUACACAUGCUGUAUGAGUCCAACUAUGUGACAUGCUGGAAAAGACAACUAUGGAGACAGGAAGAUGAUCAGUGGUUGCCAGGAGUUAGAGGGGAGGGAAGGAUGACUAGGUGGAGAACAGAGGAUUUUUAGGGCAAUGAAACUGUAUAUUACAGUGAUGGAUUCAUGGCAUAAUACAUUUGUCUAAACCCAUAGAAUGUACAACACCAAGAGUAAACGCUAAUACAAACUGUGAACUUUGGGUGAAAAUGAUGUGUUAAUGUCAGUUCAUCAGCUGUUACAAAUGGACCACGCCGGUACAGGAUGUUGAUGGAAGCAACCGUUUAGGGGUGGGGGCAGGCAUAUGGGAACUCUGUACUUUCUGUUCAGUUAUGCUGUGAGCCUAAAACUGCUCUAAAAACAAAGCCUAAUAAGAAAAAUCA